rnacentral:rRNA from 1 species
GACGAACGCUGGGGCGUGCUUAUACAUGCAAGUCGAACGAUGAACCACUUUGGUGGGGAUUAGUGGCGAACGGGUGAGUAACACGUGGGCAAUCUGCCCUUUACUCUGGGACAAGCCCUGGAAACGGGGUCUAAACCGGAUAACACUUCUGUUCUCGUGGGUGGAGGUUAAAAGCUCCGGCGGUGAAGGAUGAGCCCGCGGCCUAUCAGCUUGUUGGUGAGGUAAUGGCUCACCAAGGCAGACGACGGGUAGCCGGCCUGAGAGGGCGACCGGCCACACUGGGACUGAGACACGGCCCAGACUCCUACGGGAGGCAGCAGUGGGGAAUAUUGCACAAUGGGCGAAAGCCUGAUGCAGCGACGCCGCGUGAGGGAUGACGGCCUUCGGGUUGUAAACCUCUUUCAGCAGGAAGAAGCGAAAUGACUGUACGUCAAAAACGCUUCUAUACC